UACUGCUGCGCUCUGGGCUUGUGG
rnacentral:piRNA from 1 species